GUUGACUCUCCGUUUCAACUUAUCUCAAAAGUGAGGACCUCAACCUAUAUACCAGUUUUUAAAUUGUGUUGAAAGGCCAAAUAAAACCAGAGUUAUGAUAAAUUAUGUCCGCGAUACUUUUUUUUCUGCUUAUUUUGAUCACGUUCGGCGCUCGAUCGCGCUGUAUGAGACAGGAAAACAUAGCAUGCAGACAUUAGCGACAGGUCUUACAGGCGGAAAAGGCUUGCCAAAAGAAAAAAAAAACACACCACAACAUCUCUCCUAUUGGUGGAAAACUUCACCACAACAACCAAUCCAAAAUUAUAUGGUGACUGAUUGACAAGGGGCGGGCGCUUACGUUCUUCCUGCAACAUGAGAAGCGAGGGAGGGACUCUCAGCAGGGAUGCAGUCUGGGACACGUAGUUGCAAACCUAGCGACUUUGUUGUUAGAUUCAAUGACUUUUCAGACCCCCUAACGACUUUUUUUUAGAAAGCAAGGGACUUUUAUCGACUUCUUCUGGAGUUUAGAGACUCUGACAUGAAGCAGGCUUUCCUUACUGAGGAGUUAGCAACGCUGCUAAGGGUGCAGAGCCACACAUGCGCUCAGAGCUCUGCAUGGGAGACUGAAGCUGACAGAGCUGCAGCAGUUAGCAGGUUUCACCCUCAGAGACCACCAGGGGUUCAUGUUGAGGCAUUUUAAUUUUUUUUUUUUUUUGUGCCAUAGACACUGUCAGCACAAUCUGCAGUUACACUAACAAAAAUGCUGCAAAAAACAAAGAAUUAUGGAAAAAUUACACAUGGACUGACAUAGAGGAGGAUCUACACAAGUUUUUUACAUCAUGUUUUACAUCAUGCAUCAUUUACAUCAUGUUUUUUUGUAGUGGCAUAAAUAAAAAGUGACAUUUGUGAGACUAUACAGUGUUUUGUAAAUAAUUUUACAAAGAACGCCUGGGCCAUUGCCUGCAUUUUGAUGUAAAUAGAGGUAAAUCACUAUGUUCUUUGUUAAAAAUUUGCAUAUGUUUUGAAGUUUACAAUUUUUAUUUGAAGUUUAAGUUUUAAAAACAGUUCAUCACACAUAUUUGUGGUUUUCACAGUAAAAAUGUUACUUUUUUCCACUCGGAUUUUAUGUUUUGUGUGUGAAUUUGGGUCCAUUGUGUAAAUUCAGUAUGUCAACAUGAUAAAAUAACUGUAAAUUCGCACAGGUGAGGUUGUGCUGAAAAAAAUGAUACCAGGCAAGGCACGUGAUUGUCAAAUCUUGUGUCAAUAUGACAAAGCGUAUAGGCGUGAAUCUCAACAAUAUGUAUUUUCACCUUAGGGGACAAGAAAAAAUGGACUUUUUUCUCCUGCCAUGGGGGGGCGCUCUUUUGGGGAGUAAAAAUUCCUUCACAAAUGUGUUGAUGGCUGGACAUUGCAUCAUCCUAGAAAACUUGGAGGCCAGUGAGGACAAAAAUAAAAAGUUAUAAGACUUUUAAAUAUGUGGAUUUUAGGGUUAUUUUUGGCGCCCCCUAGAACCUAAACCGUGGGGUGCAGCGUCAUGAUUUGAAUAACUUUUAAUGGCCAUGGGGUGUAGAUUGGCCUGAGCAAAUGUGGUGCCGGUGGAACGAAAGCCUUCGGAGGAGUUAGCGAAAUUCCAAUGUGUGCAGAUCUGCAAAAAAUGCAAAAUAACCCAUUAACCGUACAUUUGACAGAUACGCCCACACUGACUUUUUUGUAGAUCUUAUUGAGAUACAUGUGUGUGUCAAUUUUUGUGUCAUUUUGCCAAAGCGUAAAGGCGUGACACUCAACAAUGUGUAUUUUCACCUUAGGGGACAAGAAAAAAUGGACUUUUUUCUCCUGCCAUGGGGGGGCGCUCUUUUGGGGAGUAAAAAUUCCUUCACAAAUGUGUUGAUGGCUGGACAUUGCAUCAUCCUAGAAAACUUGGAGGCCAGUGAGGACAAAAAUAAAAAGUUAUAAGACUUUUAAAUAUGUGGAUUUUAGGGUUAUUUUUGGCGCCCCCUAGAACCUAAACCGUGGGGUGCAGCGUCAUGAUUUGAAUAACUUUUAAUGGCCAUGGGGUGUAGAUUGGCCUGAGCAAAUGUGGUGCCGGUGGAACGAAAGCCUUCGGAGGAGUUAGCGAAAUUCCAAUGUGUGCAGAUCUGCAAAAAAUGCAAAAUAACCCAUUAACCGUACAUUUGACAGAUACGCCCACACUGACUUUUUUGUAGAUCUUAUUGAGAUACAUGUGUGUGUCAAUUUUUGUGUCAAUAUGACAAAGCGUACAGCCGUCAUGUGAAUUUUCACCUUAGGGGGCGCUAUGGAGCCAUUUUGCAUUUUAUUGUUUGGGCGACUUCGGAAUAUCAAAUUUUUCACCAGGCCCGGUCGUCCUGCCAAAUUUCAUGAGUUUUCGCCAGUGGGAAGUGGGCCAUUUUCCAGUUCAAAGGGGAGGAAAAAGAAAAAAGAAACAAAGAAAAACCACUUGGGGAAUAAUAGGGCUCUCGCAGCUGCUUAGCAGCUACGCUCGGGCCCUAACUAGGGCCCCGUUGGGGCACUGGCGGGCCCGAGCCGUGUCGCGCCGCCCCCAGCGCGACCGCCUACCCCUCCCGAUCGCGUCACACUCAAGGUCCAAAGAUGGUGUGCGCACUUGUCUGUGGUCAUUUACCAUUAUAAUGAAUGGGAGGCGCAGUUUCUACCAAAACGCUCGCUGCAGACAAACUCCAUGUCCUAUUUGAAAAAAGUCUGGAACAUGAGUGAGGGCACAAACACAGCUAAGAUAUAUCCAAAUGGCAAGUUGCUCCUCCUUUCGGUUUUGCCGAGAGAGCGAUGCGUUUAAGCCAUUAAGCGAUGGGCAGGAACAACUUGACCUUUUCUCCGGCCAUGGGGGGCGCUCUUUUGGAGAGUAAAAAUUCCUUCACAACUGUGUUGAUGGCUGAACAUUGCAUUAUCCUAGAAAACUUGGAGGCCAGUGAGGACAAAAAUAAAAAGUUAUAAGACUUUUGAAAAUGUGGAUUUUUGGGUUAUCUUUGGCGCCCCCUAGAACGUAAACCGUGGGGUGCAGCGUCAUGAUUUUUACAACUUUGAAUGGCCAUGGGGUUUAGAUUGGCCUGAGCAAAUUUGGUGCCGAUGGGACGAAAGCUUUAGGAGGAGUUAGCCACAUUCCAAUGUGUGCGAAUUGGCAAAAAAUGCGAAAUAGCCCUUUAACCGUACAUUUGACAGAUACGCCCGCAUUGACUUUUUCGUAGAUCUUAUUGAGAUACACUUGAUUGUCAAAUUUUGUGUCAAUAUGACAAAGCGUAUAGGUGUGACACUCAACAAUGUGUAUUUUUACCUUGGGGGUAAAGAAAAAAUGGACUUUUUUCUCCUGCCAUGGGGGGGCGCCCUUUUAGGGAGUAAAAAUUCCUUCACACAUGUGCUGAUGGCUGGACAUUGCAUCAUCCUAGAAAACUUGGAGGCCAGUGAGGACAAAAAUAAAGUUAUAAGACUUUUAAAAAUGUGGAUAUUUGGGUCCUCUUUGGCGCCCCCUAGAACGUAAACCGUGGGGUGCAGCGUCAUGAUUUUUACAAAUUUGAAUGGCCAUGGGGUUUAGAUUUGCCUGAGCAAAUGUGGUGUCAGUGGGACGAAAGCUUUAGGAGGAGUUAGCGAAAUUCCAAUGUGUGCGAAUCGGCAAAAGAUGCAAAAUAGCCCUUUAACCGUACUUUUUACAGAUACGCACACAUUGACUUUUUCGUAGAUCUUAUUGAGAUACACGUGAUUGUCAAAUUUUGUGUCAAUAUGCCUAAGCGUACAGGCGUGACACUCAACAAUGUGUAUUUUCGCCUUAGGGGACAAGAAAAAAUGGACUUUUUUCUCCUGCCAUGGGGGGGCGCUCUUUUGGCGAGUAAAAAUUCCUUCACAAAUGUGUUAAUUGCUGGACAUUGCAUCAUCCUAGAGAACUUGGAGGCCAGUGAGGACAAAAAUAAAAAGUUAUAAGACUUUUAAGACUGUGGAUUUUUGGGUUAUCUUUGGCUCCCCCUAGAACCUAAACCGUGGGGUGCAGCGUCAUGAUUUGUACAACUUUUAAUGGCCAUGGGGUGUAGAUUGGCCUGAGCAAAUGUGGUGCCGGUGGAACGAAAGCCUUCGGAGGAGUUAGCGAAAUUCCAAUGUGUGCGGAUCGGCAAAAAAUGCGAAAUAACCCUUUAACCGUACAUUUGACAGAUACGCCCGCACUGACUUUUUUGUAGAUCUUAUUGAGAUACAUGUGUGUGUCAAAUUUUGAGUCAAUAUGACAAAGCGUACAGGCGUGACAGUCAAUAGUGUAAAUUUUCACCUUAGGGGGCGCUAUGGAGCCAUUUUGCAUUUUAUUGUUUGGGCGACUUCAGAAUAUCGAAUUUUUCACCAGGCCCGGUCGUCCUGCCAAAUUUCAUGAGUUUUCGCCAGUGGGAAGUGGGCCAUUUUCCCCUUCAAAGGGGAGGAAAAAUAAGAAGAAAGAAAGAAAGAAAGAAAGAAAGAAGAAAGAAAAACCUAUACAGGAAUAAUAGGGCUCUACGCCCGGCUGCUCUGCAGCUGGCUCGGGCCCUAAUAAUAAUAACUAGGGCCCCGUUGGGGCACUGGCGGGCCCGAGCCGUGUCGCCUCUGCAUUCUUGUCAAAUAUGUAAAUAGCAUGUUUUUGCAGGUGCUAAAAAACAGACUCUGAGUGUGUGUGUGUGUGUGUGCGUGUGUGUGUGUGUGUCUGUGUGUGUGUGUGUGUGUAUCCUGCAGUACUCUGAGAAGAAUAAUAAUCAUAUUUCUGAGGUGAAUUUUGAAGAUUCAUCUGAGAGUUAGGUUUGAUUCGAUUCGAUUGACGCUCCCCAGCGUUCAAGUCACAUGACAUAUUUAACCGGAUGUAGCUGCAAGACGGAGCCUCGUUAACUCUCCGUUUCAACUUAUCUCAAAAGUGAGGACCUCAACCUAUAUACCAGUUUUUAAAUUGUGUUGAUAGGCCAAAUAAAACCAGAGUUAUGAUAAAUUAUGUCCGCGAUACUUUUUUUCUGCUUAUUUUGAUCACGUUCGGCGCUCGAUCGCGCUGUAUGAGACAGGAAAACAUAGCAUGCACACAUUAGCGACAGGUCUUACAGGCGGAAAAGGCUUGCCAAAAGAAAAAAAAAACACACCACAACAUCUCUCCUAUUGGUGGAAAACUUCACCACAACAACCAAUCCAAAAUUAUAUGGUGACUGAUUGACAAGGGGCGGGCGCUUACGUUCUUCCUGCAACAUGAGAAGGGAGGGAGGGACUCUCAGCAGGGAUGCAGUCUGGGACACGUAGUUGCAAACCUAGCGACUUUGUUGUUAGAUUCAAUUACUUUUCAGACCCCCUAACGACUUUUUUUUAGAAAGAAAGGGACUUUUAUCGACUUCUUCUGGAGUUUAGAGACUCUGACAUGAAGCAGGCUUUCCUUACUGAGGAGUUAGCAACGCUGCUAAGGGUGCAGAGCCACACAUGCGCUCCGAGCUCUGCAUGGGAGACUGAAGCUGACAGAGCUGCAGCAGUUAGCAGGUUUCACCCUCAGAGACCACCAGGGGUUCAUGUUGAGGCAUUUUCAGUUUUUGUUUUUUUUUGCCAUAGACUGUCAGCACAAUCUGCAGUUACACUAACAAAAAUGCUGCAAAAAACAAAGAAUUAUGGAAAAAUUACACAUGGACUGACAUAGAGGAGGAUCUACACAAGUUUUUUACAUCAUGUUUUACAUCAUGCAUCAUUUACAUCAUGUUUUUUUGUAGUGGCAUAAAUAAAAAGUGACAUUUGUGAGACUAUACAGUGUUUUGUAAAUAAUUUUACAAAGAUUGCUGGGCCAUUGCCUGCAUUUUGAUGUAAAUAGAGGUAAAUUACUAUGUUCUUUGUUAAAAAUUUGCAUAUGUUUUGAAGUUUACAAUUUUUAUUUGAAGUUUAAGUUUUAAAAACAGUUCAUCACACAUAUUUGUGGUUUAAUUUCACAUUAAUUUCCAUAUUGUAUAAAUGACUGGAAAAAACUUGAGCCCCUGCCCCUGUAUAAUCAUGUGCACGUCCCUGUUCUAGCUCCAAGGUGAAUCUUCACUGCUCAUGUUCUCCUCAGAAAAAGUCACCUCACUCCCCUCAGGUUACUGUACACAUGCACCAACUAUCUGCUUCAGGUUUGGAUGGAGCUUCAUGGUUGUCUUUUGGAGAAAUGAACAGUCAAGUUGUGUUUGAAAUUUGAUUUUUUUCAGGGGCAAAAGGAAGCCUCUGCAUUCUUGUCAAAUAUGUAAACAGCAUGUUUUUGCAGGUGCUAAAAAACAGACUCUGAGUGUGUGUGUGUGUGUGUGUGUAUAUGUGUGUGUAUCCUGCAGUACUCUGUACUCCUGCAGUGGCCAAAAAGACUUUUAAGAAUGUGGAUUUUUGGGUCAUCUUUGGCGCCCCCUAGAACGUAAACCGUGGGGUGCAGCGUCAUGAUUUUUACAACUUUGAAUGGGCAUGGGGUGUAGAUUGCCCUGAGCAAAUUUGGUAUCGGUGGGACGAAAGCCUUAGGAGGAGAUAGCCACAUUCCAAUGUGUGCGAAUCGGCAAAAAAUGCGAAAUAGCCCUUUAACCGUACAUUAUACAGAUACGCGCUUUUUGACUUUUUCGUAGAUCUAAUUGAGAUACACAUGAUUGUCAAUUUUUGUGUCAAUAUGACAAAGCGUUCAGGCGUGACACUCAACAAUGUGUAUUUUCAUGUAAGGGGACAAGAAAAUCUUGACUUUUUUCUCCUGCCAUGGGGGGGCGCUCUUUUGGGGAGUAAAAAUUCCUUCACACAUGUGUUGAUGGCUGGACAUAGCAUCAUCCUAGAAAACUUGGAGGCCAGUGAGGACAAAAAUAAAAAGUUAUAAGACUUUUAAGAAUGUGGAUUUUUGGGUUAUCUUUGGCGCCCCCUAGAACAUAAACCGUGGGGUGCAGCGUCAUGAUUUGUACAACUUUUAAUGGCCAUGGGGUGUAGAUUGGCCUGAGCAAAUUUGGUGCCGGUGGAACGAAAGCCUUCGGAGGAGUUAGCGAAAUUCCAAUGUGUGCGGAUCGGCAAAAAAUGCGAAAUAGCCCUUUAACCGUACAUUUGACAGAUACGCCCGCACUGACUUUUUUGUAGAACUUAUUGAGAUACACAUGUGUGUCAAAUUUUGUGUCAUUUUGACAAAGCGUACAGGCGUCAGGUGAGUUUUCACCAUAGGGGGCGCUAUGGAGCAAUUUUUCAUUUUUUUGUUUGGGCCCUUUCAGAAUAUCAAAUUUUUCACCAGGCCCGGUCGUCCUGCCAAAUUUCCAGAGUUUUCGCCAGUGGGAAGUGGGCCAUUUUCCAGUUUAAAGCGGAGGAAAAAUAACGAAAGAAGAAUCCAUCAGGAACAAGAGGGCUCUCGCAGCUGCUUAGCAGCUACGCUCGGGCCCUAACUAGGGCCCCGUUGGGGCACUGUCGGGCCCGAGCCGCGUCGCGCCGCCCCAAGCGCGACCGCCUCCCCGUCCCAUUCGUGCCCUCUGGCCAUCGCCCUCUCUGGUAACGCCCAUCACUGCAAAGACCCUUUUCCUUCAUCGGUGUUUGCUGUUCUUCCUGCCAUUGUGUGUUGCUUUCACUUACACUUGCCACAGCCAGCCUCGUGAGUGCCUGGCCUGGUUUGACCUUUGCUCACCAUGAUUGUGUGACCUUGGUAUCAGCUACUUGGGAAGUUCAACCGUUGUGGCAAAGCUUUGUUUGCGUGCUGUGCUCAACCACCUAUUUUCUAUGGAUGUGUAAGUAAACCACUUUCUUUCUUACACAAUGACACACUCAUACUUAUCACUCACUGCUACUGAUGUGCUCUGUUAGUAUGCAUGCAGGAAACCUGAUGAAUGAAGAAAUGCCCAGACUAGCCAACAUCUCAAUAAAUUAUGAGGUAUGACAUCACUUGAAUGGUUUCCUUGGACUAUGCUUCCAUUAUUCUAAUUCUGUAAUAAAAAGAAAUUUUGUCCAAAAGGACUGUUGUUGUUUUUUCUUCUAAUAAUUAACAUAUUUAACAUAAUUAACAUUCAAUAUGCGCUCAUUACACACGUGCACACUCUUUGAUGAUCUGAGAAGCAGAGCUUAAAGGACAGUAGGAGUAGCUGAACAAAGUGUAUUUGUAGGAAAGUUGUAAGAGCUAUUGAAACGCCGUUUUCGCGGGUUGAAAGGUUAGGGUGUCCACCAAAGGUCAGAGGUCAAAUAACAUUUGUAUCUCAAACUGUGACGUCAAAGUCAAGGUCCAAAGAUGGUGUGCGCACCUGUCUUUGGUCAUUUCCCAUUAUAAUGAAUGGGAGGCACAGUUUCUACCAAAACGCUCGCUGCAGACAAACUACAUGUCCUAUUUGAAAAAACUCUGGACCAUGAGUGAGGGCACAAACACAGCUAGGACAUAUCCAAAUGGCAAGUUGCUCCUCCUUUUGGUUUUAGCGGGAGAGCAAUGCGUUUGAGCCAUUAAGCGAUGGGCUGGAAAAACUUGACUUUUUCUCCUGCCAUGGGGGGGGGGGGGGCGCUCUUUUGGGGAGAAAAAUUCCUUCACAGAUGUGUUGAUGGCUGCACAUUGCAUCAUCCUAGAAAACUUGGAGGCCAGUGAGGACAAAAACAAAAAGUUAUAAGACUUUUAAAAAUGUGGAUAUUUGGGUCAUCUUUGGCGCCCCCUAGAACCUAAACCGUGGGGUGCAGCGUCAUGAUUUGUACAACUUUGAAUGGCCAUGGGGUGUAGAUUGGCCUGAGCAAAUUUGGUGUCAGUAGAACGAAAGCCUUAGGAGGAGUUAGCCACAUUCUAAUGUGUGCGAAUCGGCAAAAAAUGCAAGAUAGCCCUUUAACCGUACAUUUUACAGAUAUGUGCCCAUUGACUUUUUCGUAGAUCUUAUUGAGAUACACGUGUGUGUCAAAUUUUGUGUCAAUAUGACAAAGCGUAUAGGCGUGACACUGAACAAUGUGUAUUUUCACCUUAGGGGACAAGAAAAAAUGGCCUUUUUUGUCCUGCCAUGGGGGGGGCGCUGUUUUGGGGAGUAAAAAUUCCUUCACAAAUGUGUUGAUGGCUGGACAUUGCAUCAUCCUAGAAAACUUGGAGGCCAAUGAGGACAAAAAUAAAAAGUUAUAAGAUUUUUAAGAAUGUGGAUUUGUGGGUCAUCUUUGGCGCCCCCUAGAACGUAAACCGUGGGGUGCAGCGUCAUGAUUUGUACAACUUUUAAUGGCCAUGGGGUGUAGAUUGGCCUGAGCAAAUGUGGUGCCGGUGGAACGAAUGCCUUCGGAGGAGUUAGCGAAAUUCCAAUGUGUGCAGAUCUGCAAAAAAUGCGAAAUAACCCUCUAACCGUACAUUUCACAGAUGCGCCCGCACUGACUUUUUCGUAGAUCUUAUUGAGAUACACAUGUGUGUCAAAUUUUGUGUCAUUUUGACAAAGCGUACAGGCGUCAGGUGAGUUUUCACCAUAGGGGGCGCUAUGGAGCCAUUUUUCAUUUUUUUGUUUGGGCGACUUCAGAAUAUCGAAUUUUUCACCAGGCCCGGUCGUCCUGCCAAAUUUCAUGAGUUUUCGCCAGUGGGAAGUGGGCCAUUUUCCAGUUUAAAGCGGAGGAAAAAUAAUAACUAGGGCCCCGUUGGGGCACUGUCGGGCCCGAGCCGCGUCGCGCCGCCCCCAGCGCGACCGCCUCCCCGUCCCAUUCGUGCCCUCUGGCCAUCGCCCUCUCUGGUGACGCCCAUCACUGCAAAGACCCUUUUCCUUCAUCGGUGUUUGCUGUUCUUCCUGCCAUUGUGUGUUGCUUUCACUUACACUUGCCACAGCCAGCCUCGUGAGUGCCUGGCCUGGUUUGACCUUUGCUCACCAUGAUUGUGUGACCUUGGUAUCAGCUACUUGGGAAGUUCAACCGUUGUGGCAAAGCUUUGUUUGCGUGCUGUGCUCAACCACCUAUUUUCUAUGGAUGUGUAAGUAAACCACUUUCUUUCUUACACAAUGACACACUCAUACUUAUCACUCACUGCUACUGAUGUGCUCUGUUAGUAUGCAUGCAGGAAACCUGAUGAAUGAAGAAAUGCCCAGACUAGCCAACAUCUCAAUAAAUUAUGAGGUAUGACAUCACUUGAAUGGUUUCCUUGGACUAUGCUUCCAUUAUUCUAAUUCUGUAAUAAAAAGAAAUUUUGUCCAAAAGGACUGUUGUUGUUUUUUCUUCUAAUAAUUAACAUAUUUAACAUAAUUAACAUUCAAUAUGCGCUCAUUACACACGUGCACACUCUUUGAUGAUCUGAGAAGCAGAGCUUAAAGGACAGUAGGAGUAGCUGAACAAAGUGUAUUUGUAGGAAAGCCGUAAGAGCUAUUGAAACGCCGUUUUCGCGGGUUGAAAGGUUAGGGUGUCCACCAAAGGUCAGAGGUCAAAUAACAUUUGUAUCUCAAACUGUGACGUCAAAGUCAAGGUCCAAAGAUGGUGUGCGCACCUGUCUUUGGUCAUUUCCCAUUAUAAUGAAUGGGAGGCACAGUUUCUACCAAAACGCUCGCUGCAGACAAACUACAUGUCCUAUUUGAAAAAACUCUGGACCAUGAGUGAGGGCACAAACACAGCUAGGACAUAUCCAAAUGGCAAGUUGCUCCUCCUUUUGGUUUUAGCGGGAGAGCAAUGCGUUUGAGCCAUUAAGCGAUGGGCUGGAAAAACUUGACUUUUUCUCCUGCCAUUGGGGGGGGCGCUCUUUUGGGGAGAAAAAAUUCCUUCACAGAUGUGUUGAUGGCUGCACAUUGCAUCAUCCUAGAAAACUUGGAGGCCAGUGAGGACAAAAUUAAAAGUUAUAAGACUUUUAAAAAUGUGGAUAUUUGGGUCAUCUUUGGCGCCCCCUAGAACCUAAACCGUGGGGUGCAGCGUCAUGAUUUGUACAACUUUGAAUGGCCAUGGGGUGUAGAUUGGCCUGAGCAAAUUUGGUGUCAGUAGAACGAAAGCCUUAGGAGGAGUUAGCCACAUUCUAAUGUGUGCGAAUCGGCAAAAAAUGCAAGAUAGCCCUUUAACCGUACAUUUUACAGAUAUGUGCCCAUUGACUUUUUCGUAGAUCUUAUUGAGAUACACGUGUGUGUCAAAUUUUGUGUCAAUAUGACAAAGCGUAUAGGCGUGACACUGAACAAUGUGUAUUUUCACCUUAGGGGACAAGAAAAAAUGGCCUUUUUUGUCCUGCCAUGGGGGGGGGGGCGCUGUUUUGGGGAGUAAAAAUUCCUUCACAAAUGUGUUGAUGGCUGGACAUUGCAUCAUCCUAGAAAACUUGGAGGCCAAUGAGGACAAAAAUAAAAAGUUAUAAGAUUUUUAAGAAUGUGGAUUUGUGGGUUAUCUUUGGCGCCCCCUAGAACGUAAACCGUGGGGUGCAGCGUCAUGAUUUGUACAACUUUUAAUGGCCAUGGGGUGUAGAUUGGCCUGAGCAAAUGUGGUGCCGGUGGAACGAAUGCCUUCGGAGGAGUUAGCGAAAUUCCAAUGUGUGCAGAUCUGCAAAAAAUGCGAAAUAACCCUCUAACCGUACAUUUCACAGAUGCGCCCGCACUGACUUUUUCGUAGAUCUUAUUGAGAUACACAUGUGUGUCAAAUUUUGUGUCAUUUUGACAAAGCGUACAGGCGUCAGGUGAGUUUUCACCAUAGGGGGCGCUAUGGAGCCAUUUUUCAUUUUUUUGUUUGGGCGACUUCAGAAUAUCGAAUUUUUCACCAGGCCCGGUCGUCCUGCCAAAUUUCCUGAGUUUUCGCCAGUGGGAAGUGGGCCAUUUUCCAGUUUAAAGCGGAGGAAAAAUAACGAAAGAAGAAUCCAUCAGGAACAAGAGGGCUCUCGCAGCUGCUUAGCAGCUACGCUCGGGCCCUAACAAACUAGGGCCCCGUUGGGGCACUGGCGGGCAUGAGCCGCGUUGCGCCGCCCCCAGUGCGACCGCCUCCCCCUCCCGAUCGCGUCACACUCAAGGUCCAAAGAUGGUGUGCGCACUUGUCUGUGGUCAUUUCCCAUUAUAAUGAAUGGGAGGCGCAGUUUCUACCAAAACACUCGCUGCAGACAAACUACAUGUCCUAUUUGAAAAAAGUCUGGACCAUGAGUGAGGGCACAAACACUGCUAGGAUAUAUCCAAACGGCAAGUUGCUCCUCGUUACGGUGUUGCCGGGAGAGCGAUGCGAUUGAGCCAUUGAGUGAUGGGCAGGAAAAACUUGACUGUUUCUCCUGCCAUGGGGGAUGGGGGAUGGGGGGGGGGGGGGGGGAUGUGGAUUCUUUUAAGAAUGUGGAUAUUUGGGUCAUCUUUGGCGCCCCCUAGAACGUAAACCGUGGGGUGAAGCGUCAUGAUUUUUAAAACUUUGAAUGGCCAUGGGGUGUAGAUUGGCCUGAGCAAAUUUGGUGUCAGUGGGACGAAAGCCUUAGGAGGUGUUAGCCACAUUCCAAUGUGUGCUAAUCGGCAAAAAAUGCAAAAUAGCCCUUUAACCGUACAUUUUACAGAUACGCGCGCAUUGACUUUUUCGUAGAUCUUAUUGAGAUACAUGUGUGUGUCAAAUUUUGUGUCAAUAUGACAAAGCAUACAGGUAUGACAGUCAACAAUGUGUAUUUUCACCUUAUGGGACAAGAAAAAAUGGACUUUUUUCUCCUGCCAUGGGGGGGCGCUCUUUUGGGGAGUAAAAAUUCCUUCACAAAUGUGUUGAUGGCUGCACAUUGCAUCAUCCUAGAAAACUUGGAGGCCAGUGAGGACAAAAAUAAAAAGUUAUAAGACUUUUAAAAAUGUGGAUAUUUGGGUCAUCUUUGGCGCCCCCUAGAACCUAAACCGUGGGGUGCAGCGUCAUGAUUUGUACAACUUUGAAUGGCCAUGGGGUGUAGAUUGGCCUGAGCAAAUUUGGUGUCAGUAGAACGAAAGCCUUAGGAGGAGUUAGCCACAUUCUAAUGUGUGCGAAUCGGCAAAAAAUGCAAGAUAGCCCUUUAACCGUACAUUUUACAGAUAUGUGCCCAUUGACUUUUUCGUAGAUCUUAUUGAGAUACACGUGUGUGUCAAAUUUUGUGUCAAUAUGACAAAGCGUAUAGGCGUGACACUGAACAAUGUGUAUUUUCACCUUAGGGGACAAGAAAAAAUGGCCUUUUUUGUCCUGCCAUGGGGGGGGGGCGCUGUUUUGGGGAGUAAAAAUUCCUUCACAAAUGUGUUGAUGGCUGGACAUUGCAUCAUCCUAGAAAACUUGGAGGCCAAUGAGGACAAAAAUAAAAAGUUAUAAGAUUUUUAAGAAUGUGGAUUUGUGGGUUAUCUUUGGCGCCCCCUAGAACGUAAACCGUGGGGUGCAGCGUCAUGAUUUGUACAACUUUUAAUGGCCAUGGGGUGUAGAUUGGCCUGAGCAAAUGUGGUGCCGGUGGAACGAAUGCCUUCGGAGGAGUUAGCGAAAUUCCAAUGUGUGCAGAUCUGCAAAAAAUGCGAAAUAACCCUCUAACCGUACAUUUCACAGAUGCGCCCGCACUGACUUUUUCGUAGAUCUUAUUGAGAUACACAUGUGUGUCAAAUUUUGUGUCAUUUUGACAAAGCGUACAGGCGUCAGGUGAGUUUUCACCAUAGGGGGCGCUAUGGAGCCAUUUUUCAUUUUUUUGUUUGGGCGACUUCAGAAUAUCGAAUUUUUCACCAGGCCCGGUCGUCCUGCCAAAUUUCCUGAGUUUUCGCCAGUGGGAAGUGGGCCAUUUUCCAGUUUAAAGCGGAGGAAAAAUAACGAAAGAAGAAUCCAUCAGGAACAAGAGGGCUCUCGCAGCUGCUUAGCAGCUACGCUCGGGCCCUAACAAACUAGGGCCCCGUUGGGGCACUGGCGGGCAUGAGCCGCGUUGCGCCGCCCCCAGUGCGACCGCCUCCCCCUCCCGAUCGCGUCACACUCAAGGUCCAAAGAUGGUGUGCGCACUUGUCUGUGGUCAUUUCCCAUUAUAAUGAAUGGGAGGCGCAGUUUCUACCAAAACACUCGCUGCAGACAAACUACAUGUCCUAUUUGAAAAAAGUCUGGACCAUGAGUGAGGGCACAAACACUGCUAGGAUAUAUCCAAACGGCAAGUUGCUCCUCGUUACGGUGUUGCCGGGAGAGCGAUGCGAUUGAGCCAUUGAGUGAUGGGCAGGAAAAACUUGACUGUUUCUCCUGCCAUGGGGGAUGGGGGAUGGGGGGGGGGGGGGGGGGGGAUGUGGAUUCUUUUAAGAAUGUGGAUAUUUGGGUCAUCUUUGGCGCCCCCUAGAACGUAAACCGUGGGGUGAAGCGUCAUGAUUUUUAAAACUUUGAAUGGCCAUGGGGUGUAGAUUGGCCUGAGCAAAUUUGGUGUCAGUGGGACGAAAGCCUUAGGAGGUGUUAGCCACAUUCCAAUGUGUGCUAAUCGGCAAAAAAUGCAAAAUAGCCCUUUAACCGUACAUUUUACAGAUACGCGCGCAUUGACUUUUUCGUAGAUCUUAUUGAGAUACAUGUGUGUGUCAAAUUUUGUGUCAAUAUGACAAAGCAUACAGGUAUGACAGUCAACAAUGUGUAUUUUCACCUUAUGGGACAAGAAAAAAUGGACUUUUUUCUCCUGCCAUGGGGGGGCGCUCUUUUGGGGAGUAAAAAUUCCUUCACAAAUGUGUUGAUGGCUGGACAUUGCAUCAUCCUAGAAAACUUGGAGGCCAGAGAGGACAAAAAUAAAAAGUUAUAAGACUUUUAAAUAUGUGGAUUUUAGGGUUAUCUUUGGCGCCCCCUAGAACCUAAACCGUGGGGUGCAGCGUCAUGAUUUGAAUAACUUUUAAUGGCCAUGGGGUGUAGAUUGGCCUGAGCAAAUGUGGUGCCGGUGGAACGAAAGCCUUCGGAGGAGUUAGCGAAAUUCCAAUGUGUGCGGAUCGCCAAAAAAUGCGCAAUAACCCUUUAACCGUACAUUUGACAGAUACGCCAGCACUGACUUUUUUGUAGAUCUUAUUGAGAUACAUGUGUGUGUCAAUUUUUGUGUAAUUUUGACAAAGCGUACAGGCGUGACAGUCAAUAGUGUGAAUUUUCACCUUAUGGGACAAGAAAAAAUGGACUUUUUUCUCCUGCCAUGGGGGGGCGCUCUUUUGGGGAGUAAAAAUUCCUUCACAAAUGAGUUGAUGGCUGGACAUUGCAUCAUCCUAGAGAACUUGGAGGCCAGUGAGGGCAAAAAUAAAAAGUUAUAAGACUUUGAAAUAUGUGGAUUUUAGGGUUAUCUUUGGCGCCCCCUAGAACCUAAACCGUGGGGUGCAGUGUCAUGAUUUGAAUAACUUUUAAUGGCCAUGGGGUGUAGAUUGGCCUGAGCAAAUGUGGUGCCGGUGGAACGAAAGCCUUCGGAGGAGUUAGCGAAAUUCCAAUGUGUGCGGAUCGGCAAAAAAUGCGAAAUAACCCUUUAACCGUACAUUUGACAGAUACGCCCGCACUGACUUUUUUGUAGAUCUUAUUGAGAUACAUGUGUGUGUCAAUUUUUGUGUCAUUUUGACAAAGCGUACAGGCGUCAGGUGAAUUUUUCACCUUAGGGGGCGCUAUGGAGCCAUUUUGCAUUGUAUUGUUUGGGCGACUUCAGAAUAUCAAAUUUUUCACCAGGCCCGGUCGUCCUGCCAAAUUUCAUGAGUUUUCGCCAGUGGGAAGUGGGCCAUUUUCCAGUUCAAAGGGGAGGAAAAAGAAAAAAGAAACAAAGAACUAGGGCCCCGUUGGGGCACUGGCGGGCCCGAGCCGUGUCGCGCCCCCUCCCCAACGCGAUCGCCUCCCCGUCCCAUUCUCUUCCUCUGGCCAUCGCCCUCUCUGGAAACGCCCAUCACUACAAAGACCCUUAUACUUCAUCGGCGUUUGUGGUUCUUCCCGCCAGUGUGUGUCCAACGCUUUUGCGCGUUGAAAGGUUAGGGUCUCCACUAAAGGUCAGAGGUCAAAUAACAUUUGUAUCUCAAACUGUGACGUCACAGUCAGGGUCCAAAGAUGGUGUGCGCAACUGUCUUUGGUCAUUUCCCAUUAUAAUGAAUGGGAGGCACAGUCUCUACCAAAACGCUCGCUGCAGAAAAACUACGUGUCCUUUUUGAAAAAAGUCUGGACCAUGAGUGAGGGCACAAACACAGCUAGUAUAUAUCCAAAUGGCAAGUUGCUCCUCCUUUCGGUUUUGCCGAGAGAGCGAUGCGUUUGAGCCAUUGAGCGAUGGGCAGGAAAAACUUGACUUUUUCUCCUGCCAUGGGGGGGCGCUCUUUUGGGGAGAAAAAAUUCCUUCACAAAUGUGUUGAUGGCUGCACAUUGCAUCAUCCUAGAAAACUUGGAGGCCAGUGAGGACAAAAAUAAAAAGUUAUAAGACUUUUAAGAAUGUGGAUUUUUGGGUCAUCUUUGGCGCCCCCUAGAACUGCAGUACUCUGUACUCCUGCAGUGGCCAAAAUGACUUUUAAGAAUGUGGAUUUUUGGGUCAUCUUUGGCGCCCCCUAGAACGUAAACCGUGGGGUGCAGCGUCAUGAUUUGUACAACUUUGAAUGGCCAUGGGGUGUAGAUUGACCUGAGCAAAUUUGAAGCCGAUGGGACAAAAGAUUUAGGAGGAGUUAGCCACAUUCCAAUGUGUGCGAAUCGGCAAAAAAUGCGAAAUAGCCCUUUAACCGUACAUUGAACAGAUACGCUCGCAUUGACUUUUUCGUAGAUCUUAUUGAGAUACAUGUGUGUGUCAAAUUUUGUGUCAUUUUGACAAAGCGUAAAGGCGUGACAGUCAACAAUGGUUAUUUUCGCCUUAGGAGACAAGAAAAAAUGGACUUUUUUCUCCUGCCAUGGAGGGGGGCGCUCUUUUGGCGAGUAAAAAUUCCUUCACAAAUGUGUUGAUGGCUGGACAUUGCAUCAUCCUAGAGAACUUGGAGGCCAGUGAGGACAAAAAUAAAAAGUUAUAAGACUUUUAAGACUGUGGAUUUUUGGGUUAUCUUUGGCGCCCCCUAGAACGUAAACCGUGGGGUGCAGCGUCAUGAUUUGUACAACUUUUAAUGGCCAUGGGGUGUAGAUUGGCCUGAGCAAAUGUGGUGCCUUUGGAACGAAAGCCUUCGGAGGAGUUAGCGAAAUUCCAAUGUGUGCGGAUCGGCAAAAAAUGCGAAAUAGCCCUUUAACCGUACAUUUGACAGAUACGCCCGCACUGACUUUUUUGUAGAUCUUAUUGAGAUACAUGUGUGUGUCAAUUUUUGUGUCAAUAUGACAAAGCGUAAAGGCGUGACAGUCAAUAGUGUGAAUUUUCGCCUUAGGAGACAAGAAAAAAUGGACUUUUUUCUCCUGCCAUGGGGGGGCGCUCUUUUGGCGAGUAAAAAUUCCUUCACAAAUGUGUUGAUGGCUGGACAUUGCAUCAUCCUAGAGAACUUGGAGGCCAGUGAGGACAAAAAUAAAAAGUUAUAAGACUUUUAAAUAUGUGGAUUUUAGGGUUAUCUUUGGCGCCCCCUAGAACCUAAACCGUGGGGUGCAGCGUCAUGAUUUGAAUAACUUUUAAUGGCCAUGGGGUGUAGAUUGGCCUGAGCAAAUGUGGUGCCGGAGGAACGAAAGCCUUAGGAGGAGUUAGCCACAUUCCAAUGUGUGCGGAUCGGCAAAAAAUGCGGAAUAACCCUUUAACCGUACAUUUGACAGAUACACGCGCAUUGACUUUUUCGUAGAUCUUAUUGAGUUACAUGUGUGUGUCAAUUUUUGUGUCAUUUUGACAAAGCGUAUAGGCGUGACACUCAACAAUGUGUAUUUUCACCUUAGGGGACAAGAAAAAAUGGACUUUUUUCUUCUGCCAUGGGGGGGCGCUCUUUUGGGGAGUAAAAAUUCCUUCACAAAUGUGUUGAUGGCUGGACAUUGCAUCAUCCUAGAAAACUUGGAGGCCAGUGAGGACAAAAAUAAAAAGUUAUAAGACUUUUAAAUAUGUGGAUUUUAGGGUUAUCUUUGGCGCCCCCUAGAACCUAAACCUUGGGGUGCAGCGUCAUGAUUUUGAUAACUUUUAAUGGCCACGGGGUGUAGAUUGGCCUGAGCAAAUGUGGUGCCGGUGGAACGAAAGCCUUCGGAGGAGUUAGCGAAAUUCCAAUGUGUGCGGAUCGGCAAAAAAUGCGAAAUAACCCUUUAACCGUAAUUUUGACAAAUACGGCCGCACUGACUUUUUUGUAGAUCUUAUUAAGAUACAUAUGUGUGUCAAUUUUUGUGUCAAUAUGACAAAGCGUACAGGCGUGACAGUCAAUAGUGUGAAUUUCCACCUUAGGGGGCGCUAUGGAGCCAUUUUGCAUUUUAUUGUUUGGGCGACUUCAGAAUAUCGAAUUUUUCACCAGGCCCGGUCGUCCUGCCAAAUUUCAUGAGUUUUCGCCAGUGGGAAGUGGGCCAUUUUCCAGUUCAAAGGGGAGGAAAAAUAAUAACUAGGGCCCCGUUGGGGCACUGGCGGGCCCGAGCCGUGUCACGCCGCCCCCAGCGCGACCGCCUCCCCCACCCGAUCGCGUCACACUCAAGGUCCAAAGAUGGUGUGCGCACUUGUUUGUGGUCAUUUACCAUUAUAAUGAACGGGAGGCGCAGUUUCUACCAAAACGCUCGCUGCAGAAAAACUCCAUGUCCUAUUUGAAAAAAGUCUGGACCAUGAGUGAGGGCACAAACACAGCUAAGAUAUAUCCAAAUGGCAAGUUGCUCCUCCUUUCGCUUUUGCCGAGAGAGCAGUGCGUUUGAGCCAUUGAAUGAUGAACAGGAAAAACUUGACUUUAUUCUCCUGCCAUGGGGGGCGCUCUUUUAACGAGAAAAAACUCCUUCACAAAUGUGUUGAUGGCUGGACAUUGCAUCAUCCUAGAAAACAUGGAGGCCAGUGAGGACAAAAAUAAAAAGUUAUAAGACUUUUAAAUAUGUGGAUUUUACGGUUAUCUUUGGCGCCCCCUAGAACCUAAACCGUGGGGUGCAGCGUCAUGAUUUGAAUAACUUUUAAUGGCCAUGGGGUGUAGAUUGGCCUGAGCAAAUGUGGUGCCGGUGGAACGAAAGCCUUCGGAGGAGUUAGCGAAAUUCCAAUGUGUGCGAAUCUGCAAAAAAUGCGAAAUAACCCUUUAACCGUACAUUUGACAGAUACGUGGCCAUUGACUUUUUCGAAGAUCUUAUUGAAAUACACGUGUGUGUAAAAUUUUGUGUCAAUACGACAAAACAUACAGGCGUAGCACUCAACAAUGUGUAUUUUCACCUUAGUGGACAAGAAAAAAUGGACUUUUUUCUCCUGCCAUGGGGGGGCGCUCUUUUGGCGAGUAAAAAUUCCUUCACAAAUGUGUUGAUGGCUGGACAUUGCAUCAUCCUAGAAAACUUGGAGGCCAGUGGGGACAAAAAUAAAAAGUUAUAAGACUUUUAAAUAUGUGGAUUUUACGGUUAUCUUUGGCGCCCCCUAGAACCUAAACCGUGGGGUGCAGCGUCAUGAUUUGAAUAACUUUUAAUGGCCAUGGGGUGUAGAUUGGCCUGAGCAAAUGUGGUGCCGGUGGAACGAAAGCCUUCGGAGGAGUUAGCGAAAUUCCAAUGUGUGCGGAUCGGCAAAAAAUGCGGAAUAACCCUUUAACUGUACAUUUGACAGAUACGCGCGCGUUGACUUUUUCGUAGAUCUUAUUGAGAUACAUGUGUGUGUCAAUUUUUGUGUCAUUUUGCCAAAGCGUACAGGUGUUACACUCAACAAUGUGUAUUUUCACCUUAGGGGACAAGAAAAAAUGGACUUUUUUCUCCUGCCAUGGGGGGGCGCUCUUUUGGGGAGUAAAAAUUUCUUCACAAAUGUGUUGAUGGCUGGACAUUGCAUCAUCCUAGAAAACUUGGAGGCCAGUGAGGGCAAAAAUAAAAAGUUAUAAGACUUUUAAAUAUGUGGAUCUUAGGGUUAUCUUUGGCGCCCCCUAGAACCUAAACCGUGGGGUGCAGCGUCAUGAUUUGAAUAACUUUUAAUGGCCAUGGGGUGUAGAUUGGCCUGAGCAAAUGUGGUGCCGGUGGAACGAAAGCCUUCGGAGGAGUUAGCGAAAUUCCAAUGUGUGCGGAUCGGCAAAAAAUGCGAAAUAACCCUUUAACCGUACAUUUGACAGAUACGCCCGCACUGACUUUUUUGUAGAUCUUAUUGAGAUACAUGUGUGUGUCAAUUUUUGUGUCAUUUUGACAAAGCGUACAGCCGUCAUGUGAAUUUUCACCUUAGGGGGCGCUAUGGAGCCAUUUUGCAUUUUAUUGUUUGGGCGACUUCGGAAUAUCAAAUUUUUCACCAGGCCCGGUCGUCCUGCCAAAUUUCAUGAGUUUUCGCCAGUGGGAAGUGGGCCAUUUUCCAGUUCAAAGGGGAGGAAAAAGAAACUAGGGCCCCGUUGGGGCACUGGCGGGCCCGAGCCGUGUCACGCCGCCCCCAGCGCGACCGCCUCCCCCACCCGAUCGCGUCACACUCAAGGUCCAAAGAUGGUGUGCGCACUUGUUUGUGGUCAUUUACCAUUAUAAUGAACGGGAGGCGCAGUUUCUACCAAAACGCUCGCUGCAGAAAAACUCCAUGUCCUAUUUGAAAAAAGUCUGGACCAUGAGUGAGGGCACAAACACAGCUAAGAUAUAUCCAAAUGGCAAGUUGCUCCUCCUUUCGCUUUUGCCGAGAGAGCAGUGCGUUUGAGCCAUUGAAUGAUGAACAGGAAAAACUUGACUUUAUUCUCCUGCCAUGGGGGGGCGCUCUUUUAACGAGAAAAAACUCCUUCACAAAUGUGUUGAUGGCUGGACAUUGCAUCAUCCUAGAAAACAUGGAGGCCAGUGAGGACAAAAAUAAAAAGUUAUAAGACUUUUAAAUAUGUGGAUUUUACGGUUAUCUUUGGCGCCCCCUAGAACCUAAACCGUGGGGUGCAGCGUCAUGAUUUGAAUAACUUUUAAUGGCCAUGGGGUGUAGAUUGGCCUGAGCAAAUGUGGUGCCGGUGGAACGAAAGCCUUCGGAGGAGUUAGCGAAAUUCCAAUGUGUGCGAAUCUGCAAAAAAUGCGAAAUAACCCUUUAACCGUACAUUUGACAGAUACGUGGCCAUUGCCUUUUUCGAAGAUCUUAUUGAAAUACACGUGUGUGUAAAAUUUUGUGUCAAUACGACAAAACAUACAGGCGUAGCACUCAACAAUGUGUAUUUUCACCUUAGUGGACAAGAAAAAAUGGACUUUUUUCUCCUGCCAUGGGGGGCGCUCUUUUGGCGAGUAAAAAUUCCUUCACAAAUGUGUUGAUGGCUGGACAUUGCAUCAUCCUAGAAAACUUGGAGGCCAGUGGGGACAAAAAUAAAAAGUUAUAAGACUUUUAAAUAUGUGGAUUUUACGGUUAUCUUUGGCGCCCCCUAGAACCUAAACCGUGGGGUGCAGCGUCAUGAUUUGAAUAACUUUUAAUGGCCAUGGGGUGUAGAUUGGCCUGAGCAAAUGUGGUGCCGGUGGAACGAAAGCCUUCGGAGGAGUUAGCGAAAUUCCAAUGUGUGCGGAUCGGCAAAAAAUGCGGAAUAACCCUUUAACUGUACAUUUGACAGAUACGCGCGCAUUGACUUUUUCGUAGAUCUUAUUGAGAUACAUGUGUGUGUCAAUUUUUGUGUCAUUUUGCCAAAGCGUACAGGUGUUACACUCAACAAUGUGUAUUUUCACCUUAGGGGACAAGAAAAAAUGGACUUUUUUCUCCUGCCAUGGGGGGGCGCUCUUUUGGGGAGUAAAAAUUUCUUCACAAAUGUGUUGAUGGCUGGACAUUGCAUCAUCCUAGAAAACUUGGAGGCCAGUGAGGGCAAAAAUAAAAAGUUAUAAGACUUUUAAAUAUGUGGAUCUUAGGGUUAUCUUUGGCGCCCCCUAGAACCUAAACCGUGGGGUGCAGCGUCAUGAUUUGAAUAACUUUUAAUGGCCAUGGGGUGUAGAUUGGCCUGAGCAAAUGUGGUGCCGGUGGAACGAGAGCCUUCGGAGGAGUUAGCGAAAUUCCAAUGUGUGCGGAUCGGCAAAAAAUGCGAAAUAACCCUUUAACCGUACAUUUGACAGAUACGCCCGCACUGACUUUUUUGUAGAUCUUAUUGAGAUACAUGUGUGUGUCAAUUUUUGUGUCAUUUUGACAAAGCGUACAGGCGUGACAGUCAAUAGUGUGAAUUUUCACCUUAGGGGGCGCUAUGGAGCCAUUUUGCAUUUUCUUGUUUGGGCGACUUCGGAAUAUCAAAUUUUUCACCAGGCCCGGUCGUCCUGCCAAAUUUCAUGAGUUUUCGCCAGUGGGAAGUGGGCCAUUUUCCAGUUCAAAGGGGAGGAAAAAUAAUAAUAAUAACUAGGGCCCCGGUGGGGCACUGUCGGGCCCGAGCCGCGUCGCGCCGCCCCUAGCGCGACCGCCUCCCCCUCCCGAUCGCGUCACACUCAAGGUCCAAAGAUGGUGUGCGCACUUGUCUGUGGUCAUUUCCCAUUAUAAUGAAUGGGAGGCGCAGUUUCUACCAAAACACUCGCUGCAGACAAACUUCAUGUCCUAUUUGAAAAAAGUCUGGACCAUGAGUGAGGGCACAAACACAGCUAUGAUAUAUCGAAAUGGCAGGUUGCUCCUCCUUAUGGUGUUGCCUGGAGAGCGAUGCGAUUGAGCCAUUGAGCGAUGGGCAGGGUUAACUUGACUUUUUCUCCUGCCUUGGGGGGGGAUGUGGAUUCCUUUAAGAAUGUGGAUUUUUGGGUCAUCUUUGGCGCCCCCUAGAACGUAAACCGUGGGGUGCAGCGUCAUGAUUUUUACAACUUUGAAUGGCCAUGGGGUGUAGAUUGGCCUGAGCAAAUUUGGUGUCAGUGGGACGAAAGCCUUAGGAGGAGUUAGCCACAUUCCAAUGUGUGCGAAUCGGCAAAAAAUGCAAAAUAGCCCUUUAACCGUACAUUUGACAGAUACGCGCGCAUUGACUUUUUUGUAGAUCUUAUUGAGAUACAUAUGUGUGUCAAUUUUUGUGUCAAUAUGAUAAAGCGUACAGGCGUGACAGUCAACAAUGUGAAUUUCCACCUUAGGGGACAAGAAAAAAUUGACUUUUUUCUCCUGCCAUGGGGGGGGGCGCUCUUUUGGGGAGUAAAAAUUCCUUCACAAAUGUGUUGAUGGCUGGACAUUGCAUCAUCCUAGAAAACUUGGAGGCCAGUGAGGACAAAAAUAAAAAGUUAUAAGACUUUUAAAUAUGUGGAUUUUAGGGUUAUCUUUGGCGCCCCCUAGAACCUAAACCGUGGGGUGCAGCGUCAUGAUUUGAAUAACUUUUAAUGGCCAUGGGGUGUAGAUUGGCCUGAGCAAAUGUGGUGCCGGUGGAACGAAAGCCUUCGGAGGAGUUAGCGAAAUUCCAAUGUAUGCGGAUCGGCAAAAAAUGCGGAAUAACCCUUUCACCGUACAUUUGACAGAUACGCGCGCAUUGACUUUUUCGUAGAUCUUAUUGAGAUACAUGUGUGUGUCAAUUUUUGUGUCAUUUUGCCAAAGCGUACAGGUGUUACACUCAACAAUGUGUAUUUUCACCUUAGGGGACAAGAAAAAAUGGACUUUUUUCUCCUGCCAUGGGGGGCGCUCUUUUGGGGAGUAAAAAUUCCUUCACAAAUGUGUUGAUGGCUGGACAUUGCAUCAUCCUAGAAAACUUGGAGGCCAGUGAGGGCAAAAAUAAAAAGUUAUAAGACUUUUAAAUAUGUGGAUCUUAGGGUUAUCUUUGGCGCCCCCUAGAACCUAAACCGUGGGGUGCAGCGUCAUGAUUUGAAUAACUUUUAAUGGCCAUGGGGUGUAGAUUGGCCUGAGCAAAUGUGGUGCCGGUGGAACGAAAGCCUUAGGAGGAGUUAGCGAAAUUCCAAUGUGUGCGGAUCGGCAAAAAAUGCGAAAUAACCCUUUAACCGUACAUUUGACAGAUACGCCCGCACUGACUUUUUUGUAGAUCUUAUUGAGAUACAUGUGUGUGUCAAUUUUUGUGUCAUUUUGACAAAGCGUACAGGCGUGACAGUCAAUAGUGUGAAUUUCCACCUUAGGGGGCGCUAUGGAGCCAUUUUGCAUUUUAUUGUUUGGGCGACUUCAGAAUAUCGAAUUUUUCACCAGGCCCGGUCGUCCUGCCAAAUUUCAUGAGUUUUCGCCAGUGGGAAGUGGGCCAUUUUCCAGUUCAAAGGGGAGGAAAAAGAAGAAAGAAAGAAAGAAUAAAAAGUUAUAAGACUUUUAAAUAUGUGGAUUUUAGUGUUAUCUUUGGCGCCCCCUAGAACCUAAACCUUGGGGUGCAGCGUCAUGAUUUUGAUAACUUUUAAUGGCCACGGGGUGUAGAUUGGCCUGAGCAAAUGUGGUGCCGGUGGAACGAAAGCCUUCGGAGGAGUUAGCGAAAUUCCAAUGUGUGCGGAUCGGCAAAAAAUGCGAAAUAACCCUUUAACCGUAAUUUUGACAGAUACGGCCGCACUGACUUUUUUGUAGAUCUUAUUGAGAUACAUAUGUGUGUCAAUUUUUGUGUCAAUAUGACAAAGCGUACAGGCGUGACAGUCAAUAGUGUGAAUUUUCACCUUAGGGGGCGCUAUGGAGCCAUUUUGCAUUUUAUUGUUUGGGCGACUUCAGAAUAUCAAAUUUUUCACCAGGCCCGGUCGUCCUGCCAAAUUUCAUGAGUUUUCGCCAGUGGGAAGUGGGCCAUUUUCCAGUUCAAAGGGGAGGAAAAAGAAAAAAGAAAGAAAGAAACAAAGAAAAACCACUUGGGGAAUAAUAGGGCCUACGCCCGGCUGCUCUGCAGCUGGCUCGGGCCCUAAGAAAGAAACAAAGAAAAACCCCUACAGGAAUAACAGGGCCUACGCCCGGCUGCUCUGCAGCUGGCUCGGGCCCUAACUAGGACCCCGUUGGGGCACUGGCGGGCCCGAGCUGUGUCGCGUCCCCCCCCCAACGCGCUGCCUCCCCGUCCCAUUUGUGUCCUCUGGCCAUCGCCCUCUCUGGUAACGCCCAUCACUGCAAAGACCCUUUUCCUUCAUCUGCGUUUGCUGUUCUUCCUGCCAGUGCGUGUUGCUUUCACUUACACUUGCCACAGCCAGCCUCAUGAGUGCCUAGCCUAUUGGAUAUCACUGUCACCUACACAGGACAGUCAUUACCUUUCUAUUAAUACUUUGUUUUUUAAUUUCACAUUAAUUUCCAUAUUGUAUAAACAACUGGAAAAAACUUGAGCCCCUGCCCCUGUAUAAUCAUGUGCACGUCUCUGUUCUAGCUCUAAGGUGAAUCUUCACUGCUCAUGUUCUCCUCAGAAGCAGUCACCUCACUCCCCUCAGGUUACUGUACACAUGCACCAACUGCCUGCUUCAGGUUUGGAUGGAGCUUCAUGGUUGUCUUUUGGAGAAAUGACCAGUCAAGUUGUGUUUGAAAUUUGAUUUUUUUCAGGGGCAAAAGGAGCCUCUGCAUUCUUGUCAAAUAUGUAAAUAGCAUGUUUUUGCAGGUGCUAAAAACCAGACUCUGAGUGUAUGUGUGUGCGUGUGUGUGUGUCUGUGUGUGUGUGUGUGUGUGCGUUCAAGUCACAUGACAUAUUUAACCGGAUGUAGCUGCAAGACGGAGCCUCGUUGACUCUCCGUUUCAACUUAUCUCAAAAGUGAGGACCUCAACCUAUAUACCAGUUUUUAAAUUGUGUUGAUAGGCCAAAUAAAACCAGAGUUAUGAUAAAUUAUGUCCGCGAUACUUUUUUUCUGCUUAUUUUGAUCACGUUCGGCGCUCGAUCGCGCUGUAUGAGACAGGAAAACAUAGCAUGCAGACAUUAGCGACAGGUCUUACAGGCGGAAAAGGCUUGCCAAAAGAAAAAAAAAACACACCACAACAUCUCUCCUAUUGGUGGAAAACUUCACCACAACAACCAAUCCAAAAUUAUAUGGUGACUGAUUGACAAGGGGCGGGCGCUUACGUUCUUCCUGCAACAUGAGAAGGGAGGGAGGGACUCUCAGCAGGGAUGCAGUCUGGGACACGUAGUUGCAAACCUAGCGACUUUGUUGUUAGAUUCAAUGACUUUUCAGACCCCCUAACGACUUUUUUUUAGAAAGAAAGGGACUUUUAUCGACUUCUUCUGGAGUUUAGAGACUCUGACAUGAAGCAGGCUUUCCUUACUGAGGAGUUAGCAACGCUGCUAAGGGUGCAGAGCCACACAUGCGCUCAGAGCUCUGCAUGGGAGACUGAAGCUGACAGAGCUGCAGCAGUUAGCAGGUUUCACCCUCAGAGACCACCAGGGGUUCAUGUUGAGGCAUUUUAAUUUUUUUUUUUUUUUUUGUGCCAUAGACACUGUCAGCACAAUCUGCAGUUACACUAACAAAAAUGCUGCAAAAAACAAAGAAUUAUGGAAAAAUUACACAUGGACUGACAUAGAGGAGGAUCUACACAAGUUUUUUACAUCAUGUUUUACAUCAUGCAUCAUUUACAUCAUGUUUUUUUGUAGUGGCAUAAAUAAAAAGUGACAUUUGUGAGACUAUACAGUGUUUUGUAAAUAAUUUUACAAAGAACGCCUGGGCCAUUGCCUGCAUUUUGAUGUAAAUAGAGGUAAAUCACUAUGUUCUUUGUUAAAAAUUUGCAUAUGUUUUGAAGUUUACAAUUUUUAUUUGAAGUUUAAGUUUUAAAAACAGUUCAUCACACAUAUUUGUGGUUUAAUUUCACAUUAAUUUCCAUAUUGUAUAAAUGACUGGAAAAAACUUGAGCCCCUGCCCCUGUAUAAUCAUGUGCACGUCCCUGUUGUAGCUCCAAGGUGAAUCUUCACUGCUCAUGUUCUCCUCAGAAAUAGUCACCUCACUCCCCUCAGGUUACUGUACACAUGCACCAACUAUCUGCUUCAGGUUUGAAAUGGAGCUUCAUGGUUGUCUUUUGGAGAAAUGAACAGUCAAGUUGUGUUUGAAAUUUGAUUUUUUUCAGGGGCAAAAGGAAGCCUCUGCAUUCUUGUCAAAUAUGUAAACAGCAUGUUUUUGCAGGUGCUAAAAAACAGACUCUGAGUGUGUGUGUGUGUCUGUGUGUGUGUGUGUGUGGGUGUGUGUGUGUGUGUGUAUGUUGGCGUGUGUGUAUAUGUGUGUGUAUCCUGCAGUACUCUGUACUCCUGCAGUGGCCAAAAAGACUUUUAAGAAUGUGGAUUUUUGGGUCAUCUUUGGCGCCCCCUAGAACGUAAACCGUGGGGUGCAGCGUCAUGAUUUUUACAACUUUGAAUGGGCAUGGGGUGUAGAUUGCCCUGAGCAAAUUUGGUAUCGGUGGGACGAAAGCCUUAGGAGGAGAUAGCCACAUUCCAAUGUGUGCGAAUCGGCAAAAAAAUGCAAAAUAGCCCUUUAACCGUACAUUAUACAGAUACGCGCUCUUUGACUUUUUCGUAGAUCUAAUUGAGAUACACAUGAUUGUCAAUUUUUGUGUCAAUAUGACAAAGCGUUCAGGCGUGACACUCAACAAUGUGUAUUUUUAUGUAAGGGGACAAGAAAAAAUUGACUUUUUUCUCCUACCAUGGGGGGCGCUCUUUUGGGGAGUAAAAAUUCCUUCACAAAUGUGUUGAUGGCUGGACAUUGCAUCAUCCUAGAAAACUUGGAGGCCAGUGAGGACAAAAAUAAAAAGUUAUAAAACAUUUAAGAAUGUGGAUUUUUGGGUUAUUUUUGGCGCCCCCUAGAACCUAAACCAUGGGGUGCAGCAUCAUGAUUUGAAUAACUUUUAAUGGCCAUGGGGUGUAGAUUGGCCUGAGCAAAUGUGGUGCCGGUGGACAGAAAGCCUUCGGAGGAGUUAGCGAAAUUCCAAUGUGUGCGUAUCGGCAAAAAAUGCGGAAUAACCCUUUAACUAUACAUUUGACAGAUACGCGCGCAUGGACUUUUUUGUAGAUCUUAUUGAGUUACAUGUGUGUGUCAAUUUUUGUGUCAUUUUGACAAAGCGUAUAGGCGUGACACUCAACAAUGUGUAUUUUCGCCUUAGGGGACAAGAAAAAAUGGACUUUUUUCUCCUGCCAUGGGGGGGCGCUCUUUUGGGGAGUAAAAAUUCCUUCACAAAUGUGUUGAUGGCUGGACAUUGCAUCAUCCUAGAAAACUUGGAGGCCAGUGAGGACAAAAAUAAAAAGUUAUAAGACUUUUAAAUAUGUGGAUUUUAGUGUUAUCUUUGGCGCCCCCUAGAACCUAAACCUUGGGGUGCAGCGUCAUGAUUUUGAUAACUUUUAAUGGCCACGGGGUGUAGAUUGGCCUGAGCAAAUGUGGUGCCGGUGGAACGAAAGCCUUCGGAGGAGUUAGCGAAAUUCCAAUGUGUGCGGAUCGGAAAAAAAUGCGAAAUAACCCUUUAACCGUACAUUUGACAGAUACGGCCGCACUGACUUUUUCGUAGAUCUUAUUGAGAUACAUAUGUGUGUCAAUUUUUGUGUCAAUAUGACAAAGCGUACAGGCGUGACAGUCAAUAGUGUGAAUUUCCACCUUAGGGGGCGCUAUGGAGCCAUUUUGCAUUUUAUUGUUUGGGCGACUUCAGAAUAUCGAAUUUUUCACCAGGCCCGGUCAUCCUGCCAAAUUUCAUGAGUUUUCGCCAGUGGGAAGUGGGCCAUUUUCCAGUUCAAAGGGGAGGAAAAAGAAGAAAGAAAGAAACAAAGACUAGGACCCCGUUGGGGCACUGUCGGGCCCGAGCCGUGUCGCGUCCCCCCCCCCCCCCCAACGUGCUGCCUCCCCGUCCCAUUUGUGUCCUCUGGCCAUCGCCCUCUCUGGUAACGCCCAUCACUGCAAAGACCCUUUUCCUUCAUCGGCGUUUGCUGUUCUUCCUGCCAGUGCGUGUUGCUUUCACUUACACUUGCCACAGCCAGCCUCGUGAGUGCCUAGCCUAUUGGAUAUCACUGUCACCUACACAGGACAGUCAUUACCUUUCUAUUAAUACUUUGUGUUUUAAUUUCACAUUAAUUUCCAUAUUGUAUAAACGACUGGAAAAAACUUGAGCCCCUGCCCCUGUAUAAUCAUGUGCAUGUCUCUGUUCUAGCUCCAAGGUGAAUCUUCACUGCUCAUGUUCUCCUCAGAAGCACUCACCUCACUCCCCUCAGGUUACUGUACACAUGCACCAACUGCCUGCUUCAGGUUUGGAUGGAGCUUCAUGGUUGUCUUUUGGAGAAAUGACCAGUCAAGUUGUGUUUGAAAUUUGAUUUUUUUCAGGGGCAAAAGGAGCCUCUGCAUUCUUGUAAAAUAUGUAAAUAGCAUGUUUUUGCAGGUGCUAAAAACCAGACUCUGAGUGUGUGUGUGUGUGUCUGUGUGUGUGUGUGUGUGUGUGUGUGUGUCUGUGUGUGCGUUCAAGUCACAUGACAUAUUUAAUCGGAUGUAGCUGCAAGACGGAGCCUCGUUGACUCUCCGUUUCAACUUAUCUCAAAAGUGAGGACCUCAACCUAUAUACCAGUUUUUAAAUUGUGUUGAUAGGCCAAAUAAAACCAGAGUUAUGAUAAAUUAUGUCCGCGAUACUUUUUUUCUGCUUAUUUUGAUCACGUUCGGCGCUCGAUCGCGCUGUAUGAGACAGGAAAACAUAGCAUGCAGACAUUAGCAACAGCUCUUACAGGCGGAAAAGGCUUGCCAAAAGAAAAAAAAAACACACCACAACAUCUCUCCUAUUGGUGGAAAACUUCACCACAACAACCAAUCCAAAAUUAUAUGGUGACUGAAUGACAAGGGGCGGGCGCUUACGUUCUUCCUGCAACAUGAGAAGGGAGGGAGGGACUCUCAGCAGGGAUGCAGUCUGGGACACGUAGUUGCAAACCUAGCGACUUUGUUGUUAGAUUCAAUGACUUUUCAGACCCCCUAACGACUUUUUUUUAGAAAGAAAGGGACUUUUAUCGACUUCUUCUGGAGUUUAGAGACUCUGACAUGAAGCAGGCUUUCCUUACUGAGGAGUUAGCAACGCUGCUAAGGGUGCAGAGCCACACAUGCGCUCAGAGCUCUGCAUGGGAGACUGAAGCUGACAGAGCUGCAGCAGUUAGCAGGUUUCACCCUCAGAGACCACCAGGGGUUCAUGUUGAGGAAUUUUAAUUUUUUUCUUUUUUGUGCCAUAGACACUGUCAGCACAAUCUGCAGUUACACUAACAAAAAUGCUGCAAAAAACAAAGAAUUAUGGAAAAAUUACACAUGGACUGACAUAGAGGAGGAUCUACACAAGUUUUUUACAUCAUGUUUUACAUCAUGCAUCAUUUACAUCAUGUUUUUUUGUAGUGGCAUAAAUAAAAAGUGACAUUUGUGAGACUAUACAGUGUUUUGUAAAUAAUUUUACAAAGAACGCCUGGGCCAUUGCCUGCAUUUUGAUGUAAAUAGAGGUAAAUCACUAUGUUCUUUGUUAAAAAUUUGCAUAUGUUUUGAAGUUUACAAUUUUUAUUUGAAGUUUAAGUUUUAAAAACAGUUCAUCACACCUAUUUGUGGUUUUCACAGUAAAAAUGUUACUUUUUUCCACUCGGAUUUUAUGUUUUGUGUGUGAAUUUGGGUCCAUUGUGUAAAUUCAGUAUGUCAACAUGAUAAAAUAACUGUAAAUUCGCACAGGUGAGGUUGUGCUGAAAAAAAUGAUACCAGGCAAGGCACGUGAUUGUCAAAUUUUGUGUCAAUAUGACAAAGCGUAUAGGCGUGAAUCUCAACAAUAUGUAUUUUCACCUUAGGGGACAAGAAAAAAUGGACUUUUUUCUCCUGCCAUGGGGGGGCGCUCUUUUGGGGAGUAAAAAUUCCUUCACAAAUGUGUUGAUGGCUGGACAUUGCAUCAUCCUAGAAAACUUGGAGGCCAGUGAGGACAAAAAUAAAAAGUUAUAAGACUUUUAAAUAUGUGGAUUUUAGGGUUGUCUUUGGCGCCCCCUAGAACCUAAACCGUGGGGUGCAGCGUCAUGAUUUGAAUAACUUUUAAUGGCCAUGGGGUGUAGAUUGGCCUGAGCAAAUGAGGUGCCGGUGGACAGAAAGCCUUCGGAGGAGUUAGCGAAAUUCCAAUGUGUGCGGAUCGGCAAAAAAUGCGGAAUAACCCUUUAACCGUACAUUUGACAGAUACGCGCGCAUUGACUUUUUCGUAGAUCUUAUUGAGAUACACGUGAUUGUCAAAUUUUGUGUCAAUAUGACAAAGCGUAUAGGCGUGACACUCAACAAUGUGUAUUUUCACCUUAGGGGACAAGAAAAAAUGGACUUUUUUCUCCUGCCAUGGGGGGGCGCUCUUUUGGGGAGUAAAAAUUCCUUCACAAAUGUGUUGAUGGCUGGACAUUGCAUCAUCCUAGAAAACUUGGAGGCCAGUGAGGACAAAAAUAAAAAUUUUUGUCAAAUAUGUAAAUAGCAUGUUUUUGCAGGUGCUAAAAACCAGACUCUGAGUGUAUGUGUGUGCGUGUGUGUGUGUCUGUGUGUGUGUGUGUGUGUGCGUUCAAGUCACAUGACAUAUUUAACCGGAUGUAGCUGCAAGACGGAGCCUCGUUGACUCUCCGUUUCAACUUAUCUCAAAAGUGAGGACCUCAACCUAUAUACCAGUUUUUAAAUUGUGUUGAUAGGCCAAAUAAAACCAGAGUUAUGAUAAAUUAUGUCCGCGAUACUUUUUUUCUGCUUAUUUUGAUCACGUUCGGCGCUCGAUCGCGCUGUAUGAGACAGGAAAACAUAGCAUGCAGACAUUAGCGACAGGUCUUACAGGCGGAAAAGGCUUGCCAAAAGAAAAAAAAACACACCACAACAUCUCUCCUAUUGGUGGAAAACUUCACCACAACAACCAAUCCAAAAUUAUAUGGUGACUGAUUGACAAGGGGCGGGCGCUUACGUUCUUCCUGCAACAUGAGAAGGGAGGGAGGGACUCUCAGCAGGGAUGCAGUCUGGGACACGUAGUUGCAAACCUAGCGACUUUGUUGUUAGAUUCAAUGACUUUUCAGACCCCCUAACGACUUUUUUUUAGAAAGAAAGGGACUUUUAUCGACUUCUUCUGGAGUUUAGAGACUCUGACAUGAAGCAGGCUUUCCUUACUGAGGAGUUAGCAACGCUGCUAAGGGUGCAGAGCCACACAUGCGCUCAGAGCUCUGCAUGGGAGACUGAAGCUGACAGAGCUGCAGCAGUUAGCAGGUUUCACCCUCAGAGACCACCAGGGGUUCAUGUUGAGGCAUUUUAAUUUUUUUUUUUUUUUUGUGCCAUAGACACUGUCAGCACAAUCUGCAGUUACACUAACAAAAAUGCUGCAAAAAACAAAGAAUUAUGGAAAAAUUACACAUGGACUGACAUAGAGGAGGAUCUACACAAGUUUUUUACAUCAUGUUUUACAUCAUGCAUCAUUUACAUCAUGUUUUUUUGUAGUGGCAUAAAUAAAAAGUGACAUUUGUGAGACUAUACAGUGUUUUGUAAAUAAUUUUACAAAGAACGCCUGGGCCAUUGCCUGCAUUUUGAUGUAAAUAGAGGUAAAUCACUAUGUUCUUUGUUAAAAAUUUGCAUAUGUUUUGAAGUUUACAAUUUUUAUUUGAAGUUUAAGUUUUAAAAACAGUUCAUCACACAUAUUUGUGGUUUAAUUUCACAUUAAUUUCCAUAUUGUAUAAAUGACUGGAAAAAACUUGAGCCCCUGCCCCUGUAUAAUCAUGUGCACGUCCCUGUUGUAGCUCCAAGGUGAAUCUUCACUGCUCAUGUUCUCCUCAGAAAUAGUCACCUCACUCCCCUCAGGUUACUGUACACAUGCACCAACUAUCUGCUUCAGGUUUGAAAUGGAGCUUCAUGGUUGUCUUUUGGAGAAAUGAACAGUCAAGUUGUGUUUGAAAUUUGAUUUUUUUCAGGGGCAAAAGGAAGCCUCUGCAUUCUUGUCAAAUAUGUAAACAGCAUGUUUUUGCAGGUGCUAAAAAACAGACUCUGAGUGUGUGUGUGUGUCUGUGUGUGUGUGUGUGUGGGUGUGUGUGUGUGUGUGUAUGUUGGCGUGUGUGUAUAUGUGUGUGUAUCCUGCAGUACUCUGUACUCCUGCAGUGGCCAAAAAGACUUUUAAGAAUGUGGAUUUUUGGGUCAUCUUUGGCGCCCCCUAGAACGUAAACCGUGGGGUGCAGCGUCAUGAUUUUUACAACUUUGAAUGGGCAUGGGGUGUAGAUUGCCCUGAGCAAAUUUGGUAUCGGUGGGACGAAAGCCUUAGGAGGAGAUAGCCACAUUCCAAUGUGUGCGAAUCGGCAAAAAAAUGCAAAAUAGCCCUUUAACCGUACAUUAUACAGAUACGCGCUCUUUGACUUUUUCGUAGAUCUAAUUGAGAUACACAUGAUUGUCAAUUUUUGUGUCAAUAUGACAAAGCGUUCAGGCGUGACACUCAACAAUGUGUAUUUUUAUGUAAGGGGACAAGAAAAAAUUGACUUUUUUCUCCUACCAUGGGGGGCGCUCUUUUGGGGAGUAAAAAUUCCUUCACAAAUGUGUUGAUGGCUGGACAUUGCAUCAUCCUAGAAAACUUGGAGGCCAGUGAGGACAAAAAUAAAAAGUUAUAAAACAUUUAAGAAUGUGGAUUUUUGGGUUAUUUUUGGCGCCCCCUAGAACCUAAACCAUGGGGUGCAGCAUCAUGAUUUGAAUAACUUUUAAUGGCCAUGGGGUGUAGAUUGGCCUGAGCAAAUGUGGUGCCGGUGGACAGAAAGCCUUCGGAGGAGUUAGCGAAAUUCCAAUGUGUGCGUAUCGGCAAAAAAUGCGGAAUAACCCUUUAACUAUACAUUUGACAGAUACGCGCGCAUGGACUUUUUUGUAGAUCUUAUUGAGUUACAUGUGUGUGUCAAUUUUUGUGUCAUUUUGACAAAGCGUAUAGGCGUGACACUCAACAAUGUGUAUUUUCGCCUUAGGGGACAAGAAAAAAUGGACUUUUUUCUCCUGCCAUGGGGGGGCGCUCUUUUGGGGAGUAAAAAUUCCUUCACAAAUGUGUUGAUGGCUGGACAUUGCAUCAUCCUAGAAAACUUGGAGGCCAGUGAGGACAAAAAUAAAAAGUUAUAAGACUUUUAAAUAUGUGGAUUUUAGUGUUAUCUUUGGCGCCCCCUAGAACCUAAACCUUGGGGUGCAGCGUCAUGAUUUUGAUAACUUUUAAUGGCCACGGGGUGUAGAUUGGCCUGAGCAAAUGUGGUGCCGGUGGAACGAAAGCCUUCGGAGGAGUUAGCGAAAUUCCAAUGUGUGCGGAUCGGAAAAAAAUGCGAAAUAACCCUUUAACCGUACAUUUGACAGAUACGGCCGCACUGACUUUUUCGUAGAUCUUAUUGAGAUACAUAUGUGUGUCAAUUUUUGUGUCAAUAUGACAAAGCGUACAGGCGUGACAGUCAAUAGUGUGAAUUUCCACCUUAGGGGGCGCUAUGGAGCCAUUUUGCAUUUUAUUGUUUGGGCGACUUCAGAAUAUCGAAUUUUUCACCAGGCCCGGUCAUCCUGCCAAAUUUCAUGAGUUUUCGCCAGUGGGAAGUGGGCCAUUUUCCAGUUCAAAGGGGAGGAAAAAGAAGAAAGAAAGAAACAAAGACUAGGACCCCGUUGGGGCACUGUCGGGCCCGAGCCGUGUCGCGUCCCCCCCCCCCCCCCCAACGUGCUGCCUCCCCGUCCCAUUUGUGUCCUCUGGCCAUCGCCCUCUCUGGUAACGCCCAUCACUGCAAAGACCCUUUUCCUUCAUCGGCGUUUGCUGUUCUUCCUGCCAGUGCGUGUUGCUUUCACUUACACUUGCCACAGCCAGCCUCGUGAGUGCCUAGCCUAUUGGAUAUCACUGUCACCUACACAGGACAGUCAUUACCUUUCUAUUAAUACUUUGUGUUUUAAUUUCACAUUAAUUUCCAUAUUGUAUAAACGACUGGAAAAAACUUGAGCCCCUGCCCCUGUAUAAUCAUGUGCAUGUCUCUGUUCUAGCUCCAAGGUGAAUCUUCACUGCUCAUGUUCUCCUCAGAAGCACUCACCUCACUCCCCUCAGGUUACUGUACACAUGCACCAACUGCCUGCUUCAGGUUUGGAUGGAGCUUCAUGGUUGUCUUUUGGAGAAAUGACCAGUCAAGUUGUGUUUGAAAUUUGAUUUUUUUCAGGGGCAAAAGGAGCCUCUGCAUUCUUGUAAAAUAUGUAAAUAGCAUGUUUUUGCAGGUGCUAAAAACCAGACUCUGAGUGUGUGUGUGUGUGUCUGUGUGUGUGUGUGUGUGUGUGUGUGCGUGUGUGUGUGUCUGUGUGUGCGUUCAAGUCACAUGACAUAUUUAAUCGGAUGUAGCUGCAAGACGGAGCCUCGUUGACUCUCCGUUUCAACUUAUCUCAAAAGUGAGGACCUCAACCUAUAUACCAGUUUUUAAAUUGUGUUGAUAGGCCAAAUAAAACCAGAGUUAUGAUAAAUUAUGUCCGCGAUACUUUUUUUCUGCUUAUUUUGAUCACGUUCGGCGCUCGAUCGCGCUGUAUGAGACAGGAAAACAUAGCAUGCAGACAUUAGCAACAGCUCUUACAGGCGGAAAAGGCUUGCCAAAAGAAAAAAAAAACACACCACAACAUCUCUCCUAUUGGUGGAAAACUUCACCACAACAACCAAUCCAAAAUUAUAUGGUGACUGAAUGACAAGGGGCGGGCGCUUACGUUCUUCCUGCAACAUGAGAAGGGAGGGAGGGACUCUCAGCAGGGAUGCAGUCUGGGACACGUAGUUGCAAACCUAGCGACUUUGUUGUUAGAUUCAAUGACUUUUCAGACCCCCUAACGACUUUUUUUUAGAAAGAAAGGGACUUUUAUCGACUUCUUCUGGAGUUUAGAGACUCUGACAUGAAGCAGGCUUUCCUUACUGAGGAGUUAGCAACGCUGCUAAGGGUGCAGAGCCACACAUGCGCUCAGAGCUCUGCAUGGGAGACUGAAGCUGACAGAGCUGCAGCAGUUAGCAGGUUUCACCCUCAGAGACCACCAGGGGUUCAUGUUGAGGAAUUUUAAUUUUUUUCUUUUUUGUGCCAUAGACACUGUCAGCACAAUCUGCAGUUACACUAACAAAAAUGCUGCAAAAAACAAAGAAUUAUGGAAAAAUUACACAUGGACUGACAUAGAGGAGGAUCUACACAAGUUUUUUACAUCAUGUUUUACAUCAUGCAUCAUUUACAUCAUGUUUUUUUGUAGUGGCAUAAAUAAAAAGUGACAUUUGUGAGACUAUACAGUGUUUUGUAAAUAAUUUUACAAAGAACGCCUGGGCCAUUGCCUGCAUUUUGAUGUAAAUAGAGGUAAAUCACUAUGUUCUUUGUUAAAAAUUUGCAUAUGUUUUGAAGUUUACAAUUUUUAUUUGAAGUUUAAGUUUUAAAAACAGUUCAUCACACCUAUUUGUGGUUUUCACAGUAAAAAUGUUACUUUUUUCCACUCGGAUUUUAUGUUUUGUGUGUGAAUUUGGGUCCAUUGUGUAAAUUCAGUAUGUCAACAUGAUAAAAUAACUGUAAAUUCGCACAGGUGAGGUUGUGCUGAAAAAAAUGAUACCAGGCAAGGCACGUGAUUGUCAAAUUUUGUGUCAAUAUGACAAAGCGUAUAGGCGUGAAUCUCAACAAUAUGUAUUUUCACCUUAGGGGACAAGAAAAAAUGGACUUUUUUCUCCUGCCAUGGGGGGGCGCUCUUUUGGGGAGUAAAAAUUCCUUCACAAAUGUGUUGAUGGCUGGACAUUGCAUCAUCCUAGAAAACUUGGAGGCCAGUGAGGACAAAAAUAAAAAGUUAUAAGACUUUUAAAUAUGUGGAUUUUAGGGUUGUCUUUGGCGCCCCCUAGAACCUAAACCGUGGGGUGCAGCGUCAUGAUUUGAAUAACUUUUAAUGGCCAUGGGGUGUAGAUUGGCCUGAGCAAAUGAGGUGCCGGUGGACAGAAAGCCUUCGGAGGAGUUAGCGAAAUUCCAAUGUGUGCGGAUCGGCAAAAAAUGCGGAAUAACCCUUUAACCGUACAUUUGACAGAUACGCGCGCAUUGACUUUUUCGUAGAUCUUAUUGAGAUACACGUGAUUGUCAAAUUUUGUGUCAAUAUGACAAAGCGUAUAGGCGUGACACUCAACAAUGUGUAUUUUCACCUUAGGGGACAAGAAAAAAUGGACUUUUUUCUCCUGCCAUGGGGGGGCGCUCUUUUGGGGAGUAAAAAUUCCUUCACAAAUGUGUUGAUGGCUGGACAUUGCAUCAUCCUAGAAAACUUGGAGGCCAGUGAGGACAAAAAUAAAAAGUUAUAAGACUUUUAAAAAUGUGGAUUUUUGGGUUAUCUUUGGCGCCCCCUAGAACGUAAACCGUGGGGUGCAGCGUCAUGAUUUGAAUAACUUUUAAUGGCCAUGGGGUGUAAUUUGGCCUGAGCAAAUGUGGUGCCGGUGGAACGAAAGCCUUCGGAGGAGUUAGCGAAAUUCCAAUGUGUGCGGAUCGGCAAAAAAUGCGAAAUAACCCUUUAACCGUACAUUUGACAGAUACGCCCGCACUGACUUUUUUGUAGAUCUUAUUGAGAUACAUGUGUGUGUCAAUUUUUGUGUCAUUUUGACAAAGCGUACAGGCGUGACAGUCAAUAGUGUGAAUUUUCACCUUAGGGGGCGCUAUGGAGCCAUUUUGCAUUUUCUUGUUUGGGCGACUUCGGAAUAUCAAAUUUUUCACCAGGCCCGGUCGUCCUGCCAAAUUUCAUGAGUUUUCGCCAGUGGGAAGUGGGCCAUUUUCCAGUUCAAAGGGGAGGAAAAAUAAUAAUAAUAACAAAAGAAGGAAACUACAGGAACAAGAGGGCUCUCGCAGCUGCUUAGCAGCUACGCUCGGGCCCUAACUAGGACCCCGUUGGGGCACUGGCGGGCCCGAGCUGUGUCGCGUCCCCGGCCCAACGCGCUGCCUCCCCGUCCCAUUUGUGUCCUCUGGCCAUCGCCCUCUCUGGUAACGCCCAUCACUGCAAAGACCCUUUUCCUUCAUCGGCGUUUGCUGUUCUUCCUGCCAGUGCGCGUUGCUUUCACUUACACUUGCCACAGCCAGCCUCGUGAGUGCCUAGCCUAUUGGAUAUCACUGUCACCUACACAGGACAGUCAUUACCUUUCUAUUAAUACUUUGUGUUUUAAUUUCACAUUAAUUUCCAUAUUGUAUAAACGACUGGAAAAAACUUGAGCCCCUGCCCCUGUAUAAUCAUGUGCAUGUCUCUGUUCUAGCUCCAAGGUGAAUCUUCACUGCUCAUGUUCUCCUCAGAAGCACUCACCUCACUCCCCUCAGGUUACUGUACACAUGCACCAACUGCCUGCUUCAGGUUUGGAUGGAGCUUCAUGGUUGUCUUUUGGAGAAAUGACCAGUCAAGUUGUGUUUGAAAUUUGAUUUUUUUCAGGGGCAAAAGGAGCCUCUGCAUUCUUGUCAAAUAUGUAAAUAGCAUGUUUUUGCAGGUGCUAAAAACCAGACUCUGAGUGUGUGUGUGUGUGUGUGUGUGUGUGUGUGUGUGUGUGUGCGUGUGUGUGUGUCUGUGUGUGCGUUCAAGUCACAUGACAUAUUUAACCGGAUGUAGCUGCAAGACGGAGCCUCGUUGACUCUCCGUUUCAACUUAUCUCAAAAGUGAGGACCUCAACCUAUAUACCAGUUUUUAAAUUGUGUUGAUAGGCCAAAUAAAACCAGAGUUAUGAUAAAUUAUGUCCGCGAUACUUUUUUUCUGCUUAUUUUGAUCACGUUCGGCGCUCGAUCGCGCUGUAUGAGACAGGAAAACAUAGCAUGCAGACAUUAGCGACAGGUCUUACAGGCGGAAAAGGCUUGCCAAAAGAAAAAAAAAACACACCACAACAUCUCUCCUAUUGGUGGAAAACUUUACCACAACAACCAAUCCAAAAUUAUAUGGUGACUGAUUGACAAGGGGCGGGCGCUUACGUUCUUCCUGCAACAUGAGAAGGGAGGGAGGGACUCUCAGCAGGGAUGCAGUCUGGGACACGUAGUUGCAAACCUAGCGACUUUGUUGUUAGAUUCAAUGACUUUUCAGACCCCCUAACGACUUUUUUUAGAAAGAAAGGGACUUUUAUCGACUUCUUCUGGAGUUUAGAGACUCUGACAUGAAGCAGGCUUUCCUUACUGAGGAGUUAGCAACGCUGCUAAGGGUGCAGAGCCACACAUGCGCUCAGAGCUCUGCAUGGGAGACUGAAGCUGACAGAGCUGCAGCAGUUAGCAGGUUUCACCCUCAGAGACCACCAGGGGUUCAUGUUGAGGCAUUUUAAUUUUUUUUUUUUUUUGUGCCAUAGACACUGUCAGCACAAUCUGCAGUUACACUAACAAAAAUGCUGCAAAAAACAAAGAAUUAUGGAAAAAUUACACAUGGACUGACAUAGAGGAGGAUCUACACAAGUUUUUUACAUCAUGUUUUACAUCAUGCAUCAUUUACAUCAUGUUUUUUUUUGUAGUGGCAUAAAUAAAAAGUGACAUUUGUGAGACUAUACAGUGUUUUGUAAAUAAUUUUACAAAGAACGCCUGGGCCAUUGCCUGCAUUUUGAUGUAAAUAGAGGUAAAUCAAUAUGUUCUUUGUUAAAAAUUUGCAUAUGUUUUGAAGUUUACAAUUUUUAUUUGAAGUUUAAGUUUUAAAAACAGUUCAUCACACAUAUUUGUGGUUUUCACAGUAAAAAUGUUACUUUUUUCCACUCGGAUUUUAUGUUUUGUGUGUGAAUUUGGGUCCAUUGUGUAAAUUCAGUAUGUCAACAUGAUAAAAUAACUGUAAAUUCGCACAGGUGAGGUUGUGCUGAAAAAAAAUGAUACCAGGCAAGGCACGUGAUUGUCAAAUUUUGUGUCAAUAUGACAAAGCGUAUGGGCGUGAAUCUCAACAAUAUGUAUUUUCACCUUAGGGGACAAGAAAAAAUGGACUUUUUUCUCCUGCCAUGGGGGGGCGCUCUUUUGGGGAGUAAAAAUUCCUUCACAAAUGUGUUGAUGGCUGGACAUUGCAUCAUCCUAGAAAACUUGGAGGCCAGUGAGGACAAAAAUAAAAAGUUAUAAGACUUUUAAAUAUGUGGAUUUUAGGGUUGUCUUUGGCGCCCCCUAGAACCUAAACCGUGGGGUGCAGCGUCAUGAUUUGAAUAACUUUUAAUGGCCAUGGGGUGUAGAUUGGCCUGAGCAAAUGUGGUGCCGGUGGACAGAAAGCCUUCGGAGGAGUUAGCGAAAUUCCAAUGUGUGCGGAUCGGCAAAAAAUGCGGAAUAACCCUUUAACCGUACAUUUGACAGAUACGCGCGCAUUGACUUUUUCGUAGAUCGUAUUGAGUUACAUGUGUGUGUCAACUUUUUGUGUCAUUUUGACAAAGCGUAUAGGCGUGACACUCAACAAUGUGUAUUUUCACCUUAGGGGACAAGAAAAAAUGGACUUUUUUCUCCUGCCAUGGGGGGGGCGCUCUUUUGGGGAGUAAAAAUUCCUUCACAAAUGUGUUGAUGGCUGGACAUUGCAUCAUCCUAGAAAACUUGGAGGCCAGUGAGGACAAAAAUAAGAAGUUAUAAGACUUUUAAAUAUGUGGAUUUUAGUGUUAUCUUUGGCGCCCCCUAGAACCUAAACCUUGGGGUGCAGCGUCAUGAUUUUGAUAACUUUUAAAGGCCACGGGGUGUAGAUUGGCCUGAGCAAAUGUGGUGCCGGUGGAAAGAAAGCCUUCGGAGGAGUUAGCGAAAUUCCAAUGUGUGCGGAUCGGAAAAAAAUGCGAAAUAACCCUUUAACCGUACAUUUGACAGAUACGGCCGCACUGACUUUUUUGUAGAUCUUAUUGAGAUACAUAUGUGUGUCAAUUUUUGUGUCAAUAUGACAAAGCGUACAGGCGUGACAGUCAAUAGUGUGAAUUUCCACCUUAGGGGGCGCUAUGGAGCCAUUUUGCAUUUUAUUGUUUGGGCGACUUCAGAAUAUCGAAUUUUUCACCAGGCCCGGUCGUCCUGCCAAAUUUCAUGAGUUUUCGCCAGUGGGAAGUGGGCCAUUUUCCAGUUCAAAGGGGAGGAAAAAGAAAAAAGAAAGAAAGAAACAAAGAAAAACCACUUGGGGAAUAAUAGGGCCUACGCCCGGCUGCUCUGCAGCUGGCUCGGGCCCUAAAGAAAGAAAGAAAGAAAGAAACAAAGAAAAACCACUUGGGGAAUAAUAGGGCUCUCGCAGCUGCUUAGCAGCUACGCUCGGGCCCUAACUAGGACCCCGUUGGGGCACUGGCGGGCCCGAGCUGUGUCGCGUCCCCCCCCCAACGCGCUGCCUCCCCGUCCCAUUUGUGUCCUCUGGCCAUCGCCCUCUCUGGUAACGCCCAUCACUGCAAAGACCCUUUUCCUUCAUCGGCGUUUGCUGUUCUUCCUGCCAGUGCGUGUUGCUUUCACUUACACUUGCCACAGCCAGCCUCGUGAGUGCCUAGCCUAUUGGAUAUCACUGUCACCUACACAGGACAGUCAUUACCUUUCUAUUAAUACUUUGUUUUUUAAUUUCACAUUAAUUUCCAUAUUGUAUAAACAACUGGAAAAAACUUGAGCCCCUGCCCCUGUAUAAUCAUGUGCACGUCUCUGUUCUAGCUCUAAGGUGAAUCUUCACUGCUCAUGUUCUCCUCAGAAGCAGUCACCUCACUCCCCUCAGGUUACUGUACACAUGCACCAACUGCCUGCUUCAGGUUUGGAUGGAGCUUCAUGGUUGUCUUUUGGAGAAAUGACCAGUCAAGUUGUGUUUGAAAUUUGAUUUUUUUCAGGGGCAAUAGGAGCCUCUGCAUUCUUGUCAAAUAUGUAAAUAGCAUGUUUUUGCAGGUGCUAAAAACCAGACUCUGAGUGUGUGUGUGUGCGUGUGUGUGUGUGUCUGUGUGUGUGUGUGUGUGUGCGUUCAAGUCACAUGACAUAUUUAACCGGAUGUAGCUGCAAGACGGAGCCUCGUUUACUCUCCGUUUCAACUUAUCUCAAAAGUGAGGACCUCAACCUAUAUACCAGUUUUUAAAUUGUGUUGAUAGGCCAAAUAAAACCAGAGUUAUGAUAAAUUAUGUCCGCGAUACUUGUUUUCUGCUUAUUUUGAUCACGUUCGGCGCUCGAUCGCGCUGUAUGAGACAGGAAAACAUAGCAUGCAGACAUUAGCGACAGGUCUUACAGGCGGAAAAGGCUUGCCAAAGGAAAAAAAAAACACACCACAACAUCUCUCCUAUUGGUGGAAAACUUCACCACAACAACCAAUCCAAAAUUAUAUGGUGACUGAUUGACAAGGGGCGGG